GCCCCAGCCCCAGCCCCAGCCCCAGCCCCAGCCAUCACCCUAACCCUGCUUCUCCCUAAAGUCACUCCAAUCUGCAUUGAUUUGGUGCUAAAAGUUGUCCAUUGCUCAUCCAUAAGACUGGAAUAACCCUGUGUGCCUCUAGCAUUUGCUGACUUUCCGAGUUGACUACCUGAAUUAUCAUUUUCAAUUAAUGUACACAGUCCCAUUUGUCCACUGUCCCACGUUAGAACAAUCAAUCUAUUCACCUUUGUGUCAAUGUUAGAAAUGUUAGUUAAUUGAGUUUAAUAUCAGAUAACUAUUGUUCAUAAUUUUAGUUACUCAUCAUCUCUAUUCCCUGCCCUUAAGGAAGGAGAAACCAUUCUUCUGUCAUUGCUGCAGUAGUCACAGUCCCCGUUUUCUGGGCAGUGCUCAUAAUAUUGUGCUGGUCACCUGAACUCUACCCUGAGUGAAAUUUUAAUUGUCCUGCCCAUUGGAUUAGAUCCCAGUCCUUUUGCUGAAUUCAGGACUGGGUGCAGAAAACACGAAUCUUUUGUUCAAUAGUUAACAUGCUCAGUCCCAAAUUGUAUUAGCCUAGUCCAUUAAACAAAGGCACCCUACCAUUUUUGUCCUGCUUCUGGGAUGGCCUGCUGUUCUUUGACAAUUAAAGUACCAAACUGUAAUUGUACGUUGUCUUGCCCAGUAAUCAAUGACCCUUCAUACCCUUUGCAUUGCCACUAGGCAGUGCUGACUACCUGGGACCACGUUCCUUGAAUGAUUGAUGAGUAUAAUCCCAAUUGUCCACACCCCUGUUCAUUACACAAGUCCUUUGCAACUCCUUUGCACUAUAGCAGAUGGGCUCAUCUUCAAAGUCCUUUACUUUGGGAUAUUAAUGAAUACAAUCAUUAAUAUUCAAGAUCCUGCCUAAAAGGUAAGACCCACCCAUGCUCUCUUCUCUUUACUCCUAGGUAGUGCAGACUACUUACUACCCUGCAUUAAUAUGUAAAAUCCUCAUUGCCCACUGUCCCAACAGUUAGUCUAGGAUAUAACUUUAUCUUUAUGCCAUUGCUUAUGAGGGGUUCUGAUUACCCAAGGUCACUUAAACAGUUGAUGUGCAUAAUUGCAUAUGUCCAUGGUGCUGCGCAAUAAAAAAUGGAAUCCCACCCCGUCCUAACCACUUUGGGAUAUUGCUAGUGAGUGCAGAUUAUUCAGGAACUCAGUUGUUGGACAGUUAAUUUGCACAGUUGGAGUUGUGCAGAGUCCUGUCCAUUUGAAAGAGCCACUGUAUUCCAUUUGCAUACUAUAAUGUGGGCUGAUCACUCAAAGACACUUCUCUUGAAUUGAUAAUUUUCAUAAUUGCAUUGGCACAUGUUCUGUGAACUAGCCACACCCACUCCCUUUGUAUUCUAGCAGAGGACCCUUACUACUCAAGAACAAUACACUAGGAUAUUUUAUGUGUACAAUAUUAAUUGGCUAGACUGAGCCUUUUGUAUCAGGAACCUUGCACCAUCUCUAUAUCUAAAAAGUGCGAAUUAUCUAAGGCUCUUCUCCUAAAAUUGUUCAUGUGCAAAAUUGCAAUCCCCAAUGUCUCCUACUGUUAACCUAAAAUCCCAUUUCCACCUAACUCCCUUUGCAUUAUUGCAGAAGGCACUUGGGUCCUUUAAGGUGCUUAAGGCAGUUAUGGUCCCUUCUGUUAGUCUGGGAUCCCAUCCUCUCCUACUUCCUUUGCAUUACUGCAGAGAAUACUUGGAAACGUUAAUGUGCUUAACUGCAGCGAUAAUUCCUUCCAUUAGUCUAGGAUCCUAUACCCUCCUACUCAUUUUGCAUUAGCACAGAUUGUACAUGGGACUGUUAAUGUGUUCACAUGCAGCUCUGUCCCUUAUGUUAGUGUGUAUGAUUCUAUCCUCUUUAACUCCCUGUGCAUUACAGCAGAGGGUAGUUGGGAUCUUUAAGGCCCUCAAAGGCAGCUAUGGUGCCUUCUGUUAGUCUAAGAUCCCACCCCCUCCUACUUCCUUUGCAUUUCUGCAGAGGAUAUUUGGGACUGCAAUGUGCUUAAUUGCUGCCAGAGUCCUCUCUGUUUGUCUAGGAUCCCAAUCUCCUCCCUCUUACUGAGUUUGCAUUACACAGAGUACAAGGGACUGUUAAUGUGCCUAAGUGGCAGCUAUGGUCUCUUCUAUUAACCUAGGUUCCCAUCCCAAUCUAAAUUCUUUUGCAUUACUGCAGAGGGUACUUGGGACUGUUAAUGUGUGUAAUUGUAGUUACAGUCCCUUCUGUUAGAUCCUGUCCUCACCUACUCUCUUUGCAUUAUCAUGAAGGGUACAAUGGGACUGUUAAUGAGCUUAAUUGCAGCUAUAGUUCCUUCUGUUAAUCUAGUUUCCCACUUAUUCCUGCUUUGCAUUAUAGCAAAGGGUACUUGAGACCUUUAAGGUGCUUAAAUGUAGCUAUGACCCCUUCUGUUUAUGUUCCCAUCCCCUCCUACUUUGCAUUACUGCAGAGGAUACUUGGGACUCUAAAUGUGCCCAAUUACUACUUUCCCUUUUCUUUUUCUUUGUCCCAUCCCCUCCCACAGUUUGUAUUAUCAUAGAAGGUACAAGGGACCAUUAAUGUGCUUAGAGGCAGCUAUGGUUUCCCCUGUUAACCUGGGAUCCUGUCCCCACCUAACUUCCUUUUGCAUUAUUGCAAAGGGUACUUUGGACUAUUAAUGUGCUCUAAGGAAGCUGUGUGGUUCCUUAUAUUACUGUAGGAUUCCAUUGUCUCCAACUCCCUAUGCAUUACAGCACAGGGUACUUGGACCCUUUAAGAUGCUUAAAUGCAGCUAUAGCCUCUUCUGUUAGUUUUAUACUUCCAUCCCCUCCUAUUUCCUUUGCAUUACUGCAGAGGAUACUUGGGACUGUUAAUGUGCUUCAUUGCAGCUACAAUCUCUUCUAUUAGUCUAGGGUCUCAUCCCUUCUAGUUGCUUUGCAUUAGCACACAAUACACAUGGGACUGUUAAUUUGCUUAAAUGCAGCUCUGUCCCUUAUGUUAAUGUAGCAUUCCAUCCAACACCCUAUGCAUUAGAACAGAGGGAACUUGGCACCUUUAAGGUGCUUAAAUGUAGCUGUGGUGCCCCCUGUUAGUCUAGGAUCCCAUUCCCCUUCUGCUCCCUUUACAUUAAUGGCAGGACAUUUGGGACUGUUAAUGUGCUUAAUUGCAGUUACAAUCCCUUCUAUUAAUCUAGUUAUCCUAUGCCUUCUCACUUCCUCUGCAUUAGAGCAGAUGGAGGAUUUGGGACUGUUAAUGAGCUUAAUGCAGCUAUAGUCCCUUCUGUUAAUCUAGUUUCCCAUGUACUCCUACUUCCUUUGCAUUACAGCAGAGGGUACUUCAGACCUUUAAGGUGCUUAAUUGCAGUCAUGGUCCUGUCUGUUAGUUUAGGAUCUCAUAUCUUUCAACUCCCUUUGUAUUAUCUUUGGGACUGUUAAAGUGCUUAGUUGCAGCUGUGGUCCCUUUUCUUAGUCUAGGGUCCUAUCCCUUGCUACUCACUGCAUUACCUGGGAGUGGAUUUGGGACUAGUAAUGUGCUCAUUUGCAAUUGUGGUCCCUUUGGUUAGUCUGGGGUCCCAUGUCCUCCAACUCCUUCUGCAUACAGCAGAGGCUACUUGGGACUCUUAAUAUGUUUAAUUUUUGCUGUGGUCUCUUUCAGUACUCUAGGAUUCCACACCCUUCUAUUCACUUUGCAUUAGCACACAGUGUAUAUGGGACUGUUAAUGUGCUUAAAGGUAGUUCUGUCCCUUAUGUUAAUGUAGGAUUCCAUCCUUUCCAACUCUCUAUGCAUUAGAGCAGAGGGUACUUGGCACCUGUAAGAUGCUUAUACAUAGCUGUGGUCCCCCCAGUUAGUCUAGGAUCCCAUCCCCCUUCUACUCCCUUUACAUUACAUGGCAGGGCAUUUGGGACUGUUACUGUGCAUAAUUGCACUUACAAUCCCUUCUGUUAGUCUAAGAUCCUAUGCUUUCCCAUUUCCUUUGCAUUAGAGCAGAUGGUAUUUGGGACUGUUAAUGAGUUUAAUUGCAGCUAUAGUCUCUUCUGUUAAUCCCAUACACUCCUACUUCUUUUGUUAUAGCAGAGAAUACUUGAGACCUUUAAGGUGCUUAAGAGCAGGUAUGGCCCCUUCUGUUAGUUUAUGUUCCCAUCUCCUCCUACUUCCUUUGCAUUACUGCUGAGGCUACCUGGGACUGUUAAUGUGCCUAACUGCCACUAUAGUCCCUUCUGUUUGUCUAGAUUCUCAUCCUCUUCUGCAUGGAUUACAUUACCACAGAGGAUACAAGGGACUGUUAAGGUGCUUAAAUGCAGCUACUGUCUUUUCUGUUAACUCAGGUUCCCAUCCCCACCUAAUUCCCUUUGCAUUAUUGCAGAGGGUACUUGAGACACUAAUGAACUUAUUGUAGCAUUGGUUCCUUCUGUUAGACUGGGAACCCACCCUCACAAACUCCCUUUACAUUUUAAUGGAGAAUACACGGGACUGUUAAUGUGCUUAAAUGCACCCACAGACCCUUAUGUUAAUGUAGGAUUCCAUCCUUGCCAAACCCUCUAUGCACUACAGCAGAGAGUAGUUUCUACCUUCAAGGUGCUUAAAUGUGGCUAUGGCCCCUUCUAUUAGUUUAUGUUCCUGUCCUCUCCUACUUGCUUUGCAUUACUGCAGAGGAUACUUGGGAUGUUAGUGUGCCUAAUUGCUGCUACAAUCCCUUUUGUUAAUCUAGGAUCCUGUCCCAUUCCACACUGUUUGCAUUACCACAGAGGGUACAAGGGAUUGUUAAUGUGCUUAAAUGCAACUAAGAUCUUUCCUGUUAAUCUAGGACCCGAUCCCCACCUAACUCUGCAUUAUUGCAGAGGCUACUUGGGACUGUUAAUGCGCUCUAAUGCAGCUGUGGUUCCUUUUGUUAGAUGAGGAUCCCAUCCCUACCUGCUCCCUUUGCAUUAUCAUGGAGAGUACCUGGGACUGUUAAUGUGCUUAAAUGAAGCCAUGGUCCCUUAAGUUAGUGUAGGAUUUCAUCCUCUCCAACUCCCUGUGCAUUACAACAGAAGGUACUUGAGACUUUUAAGGUGCUUUUAAGCUAUGGUGCUUUCUGUUAGUCUGGGUUCCCAUUGCUACCUAACUCCCUUUCAAUUACUGCAGAAGGUACUGGAAAUCUUUAAGAAGCUUAAAUGCAGUUACAACCCCUCUGUUAGUGUUCCCAGCCCCUCCUACUUACACUUUGCAUUAUUGCAGAGGAUACUUGGGACUGUUAAUAUGCCUAAUUGCCACUACAGUCCCAUCUGUUUGUCUAUAAUCCUAGCCCCUCCUAAAUGUUUGCAUUUCUACAGGAGGCACAAGGGACAAUUAAGUGCUUAAAUGCAGCUAUGGUGUCUUCUGUUAGUCUAGGAUCCUAUCCUCUACCUACUUACAGAAGGUACAAGGUACUGAUAAUGUGCUUAAGUGCUGCUAUAAUCCCUUCUGUUUGUCUAGGAUCCUGUCCCCUCCUACAGGGUUUGCAAUACCACAAAAAGUACAAGGGGACUGUUUAUGCUUAAAGGCAGCUCUUCUUUCACCUAGGAUUCCAUCCCCACCUAAUGCAUUUGCAUAGUUGCAGAGGGUACUUGGGACUGUUAAUGUGCUUAAAUGCAGCUGUGAUCCCUUAUGUGAAUGUAGGAUUCUAUCCUCUCCAACUCCCUAUGCUUAAUAGCAGAUGGGACUUUCAAAGUGCUUAAGUAUACUUACAGUGCCUUCUGUUAGUCUGGGAUCCCAUCCCCACCUAACUCCCUUUGCAUUACAGCAGAGAGUACUUGAGAUCUUUAAGAUGCUUAAAUGCAGCUAUGCCCCCUUCUGUUAGUUUAUGUUCCCAUCCCUUCCUACUUUGUAUUACUACAGAGUACACUUGGGACUGUAAAUGUGCCCAAUUACUGCUAUAGUCCCUUCUGUUUGUCUAGGAUCCCAUCCCCUCCUACAGAGUUUACAUUAUCACAGAGUGUAGAAGGGAUUGUUAAUAUGCUUAAUUGUAGUUAUAGUCCCUUCUGUUAGACUAGGAUUCCAUCUCCACCUACUCCAUUGCAUUAUCAUGGAGGGUACAUGGUACUGUUAGUGUGCUUGAAUGCAGCUACAACCCAUAUGUUAGCAUAGGGAUUUCAUCCUCUCCAACUUCCUAUGCAUUAUAACAUAGGGCAUUUGGGACCUUAAAGGUGCUAAAAUGCAGCUAUGGCCCCUUCUAUUAAUGUUCCCAUUCUCUCCUACUUCCUUUGCAUUACUGCAAAGGGUACUUGGGACUCUUAAUGUAGGUAAUUGGUACUACAGUCCCUUCUGUUAAUCUAAGAUCCCAUUCCCUCCUACUUGCUUUGCAUUACCACAGAGGGUACAAGAGACUGUAAAUAUGCUUCAAUGCAGCUCCUGUCCCUUAUAUUAGUAUAGUAUUCCAUCCUCUCCAAUUCCCUAUGCAUUACAGCAGAGGGUAGUUGGUAUCUUUAAGGUCCUUAAAGGCAGCUAUGGUGCCUUCUAGUAGUGUAGGAUCCUAUCCCCUCCUACUGACUUUGCAUUACUGCAGAGGAUACUUGGGACUGUUAAUGUGCUUCAUUGCCACCAGAGUCCCUUUAAUUUGUCUAGGAUGCCAUCCCCUUCUAUUUGCUUUGCAUUAGCACACAAUGUACAUGGGACUGUUAAUUUGCUUAAAUGCAGCUCUGUCCCUUAUGUUAAUGUAGCAUUCCAUCCAACACCCUAUGCAUUAGAACAGAGGGAACUUGGCACCUUUAAGGUGCUUAAAUGUAGCUGUGGUGCCCCCUGUUAGUCUAGGAUCCCAUUCCCCUUCUGCUCCCUUUACAUUAAUGGCAGGACAUUUGGGACUGUUAAUGUGCUUAAUUGCAGUUACAAUCCCUUCUAUUAAUCUAGUUAUCCUAUGCCUUCUCACUUCCUCUGCAUUAGAGCAGAUGGAGGAUUUGGGACUGUUAAUGAGCUUAAUGCAGCUAUAGUCCCUUCUGUUAAUCUAGUUUCCCAUGUACUCCUACUUCCUUUGCAUUACAGCAGAGGGUACUUCAGACCUUUAAGGUGCUUAAUUGCAGUCAUGGUCCUGUCUGUUAGUUUAGGAUCUCAUAUCUUUCAACUCCCUUUGUAUUAUCUUUGGGACUGUUAAAGUGCUUAGUUGCAGCUGUGGUCCCUUUUCUUAGUCUAGGGUCCUAUCCCUUGCUACUCACUGCAUUACCUGGGAGUGGAUUUGGGACUAGUAAUGUGCUCAUUUGCAAUUGUGGUCCCUUUGGUUAGUCUGGGGUCCCAUGUCCUCCAACUCCUUCUGCAUACAGCAGAGGCUACUUGGGACUCUUAAUAUGUUUAAUUUUUGCUGUGGUCCCAGUAGUUUAGGAUCCUUUGUAUUACCUUUGUAUUAUCAGAUGGUAUUUGGGACUAAAAAAUGCUUAAUUGCAUCUCUGGUCCCUUCUGUUAUAGGAUCCCAAUGUUGUCCAACUCCCUGUGCAUUACAGCAGAGGUCUUGGGGCUGUUAGUGGGUUUAACUGUAGCUGUGGUCCCUUCUGUUAGUCUAGUAUCCCAAGCCCUCCAACUGCCUUUGUGUUACCUGGGAGUGUAUUUGGGACUCUAAGUUGCUUAACUGCAGCUGUUGUCUCUUCUGUUAGUAGUUUCCCAUGCCCUCCUAUUAUCUUUACAUUAUAACAGAGGGUCCUUGGGAUUGUUAAAGUGCUUAAUUGCUGCUGUGGUCCCUUCUGUAAUUCCGGGGUCCCAUCCCCUCCUACUCUGUUUACCUGAGAGGAUUUUUGGGACUGUUAAAAGAGACCACAUAAUUAAAUUAGUAUAGUUUCCCAUGCCCUCCUAUUCUCUUUGCAUUACAACAGAUGGUACUUGGGAUUGUUAAAGUGCUUAACUGCAGGUGGGGUCCCCUCUGUUAGUCUAGGAUCUCUUGUCCUUCCCCCUUUACAUUACCGAGAGCAGAUUUGGGAAUGUUAACAUGCUUAUUAAUUACAGUUGUUGUCCCUUCUGUUAAUCUAGUUUCCAGUCCCUUCCAACUGGUUUUCCAUUACCUGGUAACAGAUUUGGGACAAUUAAUAUGCUCAUGUGCGGCUGUGGUCCCUUCUGUUAGUCUAGCAUUCCAUGCCCUCUAACUCCCUUUCCAUUAUAGCAGAGGAUAUUUGGGACUUUUAAUGGCUUAAUUGCAGCCCUGGUCCCUUCUGUUAGUCUAGGAUCCCAUGUUCUCCAACUCACUUUGCAUUACCUGAGAAUGUAUUUGGGACUGUUUAAAUGCUCUAUUGGAGCUGUGGUCCCUUUUGUGUGUCUAGUUUCCCAUGCCCUCUUACUCUUUUGCAUUAUAGCAUUGGAUACUUGGGGCUGUUAAAGUACUUAAUUCCUGGUGUAGUCACUUUUGUUGAUUUAGGAUCCCAUCCCCUUCUACUCCCUUUACAUUAUCUGGGAGGAUUUGGGGGACAUUUAAAGUACUCAUUUGCAGCUGCGGGUCCCCUUUGUUAGUCUAGGAUCUGAUGUCCUCCAACUCCCAUUGCAUUAUAGCAGAUAGUGCUUGGGACUGUAAAUGUGCAUUACAUACAGGUGUGGUCCAUUUUGCUGGUCAUGACCACCUCUUCCCUUUAUAUUACCUGGGAUCAGAUUUGGUACUGAAAGGUGCUUAAUUGCAGCCUGUGUUCCCUUCUGAUUAGGAUCCCACACCUCCAUCUCUAUUUGCAUUACAGCAGGGCGUACUUGGGCCUGUCACAUGCUCUGUUGCAGCUGUGGUACCUUCUGUUUUGUAGGAUCCCAUGCCCAUCAUCUCCUUUUUACAUUAUCUGGGAGUGUAUUUGGAACUUAUAAAGUACUUAAUUUUAGCUGUGGUUCCUUCUGUUCAUAUACUUUUCCAUGCCCUCCUACUGUCUUUGCAUUAUAGCAGAGGGUACUUGGAACUGUUAAAGUGCUUCAUUGCAGCUGUGUCACUUUUGUAGUUUAGGAUCCCAUGACUUCCCAGCCCCUUUACAUUACCUAGAAAGGCAUCUGGGACUGUUAAGGUGCUAACUGCAGCUGUGGUCCCUUCUGUUAGUCUAGGAUCCCAUUCUCUCCUACUCCCUUUGCAAUACUUGGGGAAGGUUUUUUGGGACCAUUAAAGGGCGCUGUUGCAGGUGUGGUCCUUUCUCCUGCUCUGAGAUCCAUGCCCUUCAAACUUUGUUUGGGUUACUGCUGAGGGCACUUGGUACUAUGAAUGUGCUCAAAUGCAGAUUUGGUCCCUUUUCUUAGUCUCAGAUCUCAUGCCUUCCAACUCCUUGUACAUUAUCAGAGAGGGUGCUUGGGACAGUUUUUAUGCUCAGUUACAACAGUGGUCCCUUUUUUAGUCUAUGAUUUCAUCCCUUGCCCCUCGCCCCGCAACUCCCUUUGCAUUACCACAGAAGGUACUGGAGACUGUUCAGGUGUAUCUCAUUCUCUGACCCCCUGUUAGCAUUAUAGUAAGGGGUGCUGAAUACCAAAACCCCCUUUUUUUUUGCAUUGUUAAUGUGCAUAAUUGCAUUUGUUCAUCUUUCUCUGCAGUAGAUAAGAUUUCACUAACUUCCCUUGUAUUCAGCAGUGAAUGCCCUUUAUUCAAGACCUUUGUACUACAAUAAAGUGAACCAUGGUAAUUGACCACACUGUCAUUCAUUUAAGUCCCCUGUACUCUCUGUAUUAAUUACUUUAGUUAUUUUUGGGGGGGAUUAUUUGUAGCAAAAUUCCAGUGUUUAUGGUCCUUCACUUUUAACUAAUUUCCCACCCUUUUUGUAUUGCAUCAGGGGAUGUUAGUAUCUCAAAGUAUUUCUCUUAGGACUCUAAAUGUGCAUAUACCCUCUUGAUAAGCUAAUAUCUUUAUUUCUUAGUAUUAUAGCAGGGGGUACUAACCACCUAAGGUCCUUCUUUUGGACGGUUAAUGUGCCAGAUUGCACAUCCCCAAAUUGGGGAUCCCAUCCCCAUCACACCUUCUCUGUGUCAGGCGUGCUGACCAACUAUAACUGCUUCUCCUUUAUAGUUUAAAUGUGCAUAAUUACAGUAACCAAUGGUCCCUUAUGUUAGAAUGGGAUCUCAUUUCCUUGCCCAAUUUACAUUACUGUGGGGGCUUCUGACUAGCCAAGAGUCACUCUCUUGGACUGUUAAUGUGCCUACUUAAAUUCACUCUUAUACCUAGAUAAGGAUUCUCCCCAUACUAUUUAUAUUCCAGCAAGAGGUGCCUACUACUUAAGAUUUUACACACUAAUGCAGUUAAUGUGCACAGCCUUUGUUGUCUUGUGCAUACUCAGUUGUCCACAACUGUACCUUUUAGUUCAAGACUCCUGCAAUUACUGAAGCAGAAGUGACUGACCACCUUAAAGCCUUUCUCUUGGGACUCUGGAUGUGUGUAGUAUUGGUUGUCCACUGUCCUUUGAGUUAACUUGGGUCCCUGAGUCUUUUCACAGCCUCUAAGCUUUACUUCAUGGGGUACUGUCCACUUAAGGCCCCUUUCUCAAACUGUUAAUGUGCAUAAUGACAAUUACAUUGGGAUUCUUCCCCUUUACACUCCCUUUGAAGUACUGCAGGGAAUUCUGACCCAUAAGGUUCCGUUUCAUGGCCUGUUAAGAUGCAUGUUAUAUUUAUCUGGGUUCUUAUGUACUAGAGAAGAAAACCUCUCUCCACUCCCUGUAUCUUCAAGCAGGGAGUGCCCACUGUACAAGACCGUGCCCUGUACAAGACUGUUGAGCAGUCAAGGAAGACAAUUGUAAUUGACCACAGCCAUGCACCAUGGACAUUAAUGUGCAUAAUUGCACAGGCUCAUCCUGUUUGAAUAAGAUACUACCUUCUCAGACCCCAGAAGGGGUACUGAUCAUUAAGGCCUUUUUUUCAUGCCUUGUGAUUAUGCAUAAUUGCAUUUGUACAUUUUUCUGUAUACCAAAUAAGGACACCCCUCUCCCCACUCCCUUUAUCUUUAGCAAGGAGUGCCCAUUAUUUUAAGAUCCUUGUAUCUGUACAAGAUACAUGGUUUUAGUUGAUCAUACCAUGUCUGUUGGACAUUAAUGUACAUAAUUGCAACUUAGUUCAUCCUACUCUGUUGUAUGUCAUUUGCUGUAUGCUAAGGUUGAUGAUCCCUAACUUAUCCUGUUAAUGUGCAUAAUUGCAUUAGUCUGGGUUCUUGUGCACUAGAUGAGGACAUCCUCCACCCCUACUUCUAUGCCUUCCAGUAGGUGGUGCCCACUGCUGUGACAUUUACAUUUGGAUGGUUAAUGUGAAGAAUUGUAGUUUCCACAACCCUAUCACUUUCAAAACUAUCGUAUCUGCAUUGCACUGCUGCAGGGGAUACUGUUUUCUCCCCAAGUUCCUUCUAGUAAACCAUUAAUAUUCAUAAUUGAAAUAGUUAUACACCCUCAGCUUCCCUUUGCAGUAUAGCAGUGUGUACUGAUCAACCAAGGCCCUCUUUUGGAGUGGUAAUAUGUGCAAUUGCAUUUUUUCCUAUUUUGUGCACUAAGGAUCCUGCCUACUUCCUUACCAGGUUCAGCAGGUAGUGUCCACUACUUAAGACUCUUUCACUUGAAAAGUUCAUGUGUAUAAAUGCAGUUUGCUAAGUGUGUCUUAUACUAGAACCCCUCUUUGCUUUGGAGUAAGGAGAUGUUAUUUACCUAAUGCCCUUUCUUUUAGACUCUAAUGUGCAUAAUUACAAUUGUCCAUCUUUUCUGUUGGACUAGGGUUGCAUUCCCUCAAACCCCCUUUGUAUCAGGGGUGUGUUAACCAUAAAUGAGCUCUUCUCUUGAGAUUAUAGUUGUACAGACUUGUAUGUGUCUGUGCAUUUGUGUAGUGUGAAAGGAUGCCCUAUGCAUUUACCACUAUCUUUGGAUUGCUGCUGAGGAGUGCUAUUAUGACCUCAGCUCUUGGACAAUUAAUGUGCACCACUAGCAAUGAUGGGACCUCUGUACCCACUUUGUAUACAUCAGGGGUACUAAGGCCCCUUUCUUGGACUGUCAAUGUGCAAUUGUCUAUGUUCCCUUCUGUUAGAUUUAGGAUAACAUUCCCUUAAACCCCCUUUGCAUUAAUGCAGGGGUUGGUGACCACACAAAACUCUAUUAGUUUAGAGUUAUUAAACUAUUAGUGGGCACAAUGGCAAUUAGUGGGACUAUUAGUGGGCACAAUGGCAAUUAGCAAUGGGUUUUUCCUCCCUGGCCUUAUUAGGCAAACACUCCCAGCCCCAAUUUCCCUUGGCAUAAUAAAGUAUAAACAUGGCAGUAUGCUGUGAACUUGUCCAUCAAAUAGUACCCCAUACUCCCUCUCCUUUUGUAUUGCUUCUAUGUAUAAAAUUCCAAGUAGUCAUGAUCUUCCCCUUCCUUCCCUCUUCCCACCCCUUGCUCAUCCUUGGACCCAUCCAAGGUGCAUAAGCACCAUUCUCACAAUUUCGGGUGUUCAUGUAUUGGGCCACUAAAUAAGAUUGUGUUCCUUUUUCCCUCCCAACGCCACCCUGCCCCUUUUGCAUUAUUGCUGGGGAAUGUUGACUGGGCAAAGCCCUUUCUCUUGGAUUUAAAACAUUAACAAUCCCAGAUGUCAUUGCAUUACUCGCUUUGUAUUGCUGUAAUGCCUCAGUUGCACUAUCCUUGGUCCCUCCCAUCAGACAUGGACCCCUCCACUUCUUUGCAUUGCUUCUGAGUAAUGCUGAGUACCCAAAGUCUCUUCUGUGUUAUUAACACAGUACUGAUUGUCCCAUUUUUUUCAGGUCAUCAGCCCAAGAUUUUCCUACCAUUUUGAUGUGUUUGUGCAGUGUUGACUACCCAAAGCAGGCCUGAAUUAGGUGGAUGGACCUUCACUCCUUUGUCUGCAUUUGUUAAUAAUCCCAAUUCCAGUUGUUACAUUCUGGGAUAGGAACUAUCCCUGACCAUUUCUGUUACUGCUUCACUGAGCAAAAUGCUCAAGGCAAGUCAGGCCUAGAAAGCUGGAUUGCCACCUUUUAUUUUAGAUUUCCAGUAUAAGUAUCAGUUGAAAAUUGUCUCCCCAGGAAGAAAGAUUAGCAUUGUCUGUGUAUUCUUCCUUCCAGAGCAGAUUGCCUGGCCAAGAAUUUCGCUUCUCCUCUUGUAUAUUGCUAUUGUACUGUGCCAGUUGCCAGCGUACAAUUAAAAAAAAAAAUACUGUUUGCAAGGUGGAAUUGUAAACCUGGUCAUUGAAUUUUGAGGUCCAAAAACCCAUUUAUACCAUGUACCUGAUGACCAGUGUCUCUCAUUUUACUAAGGGUGCUGGGUCUGUGGAUAGACCACUGUGACUCUUGCUAUUUUGGUAUUCCCAAAAGACUUCUAGAGUGGAACUCUUAAGAGCAAUAUCUUUGGGUUCUACCACCAUUUUAAAACCCAUUAUUUAUUUGGGCUUUACCACUGUUCACUUUUAGAAAAACUACCUAAACAUUCUAAUCCUUAAAUUUCAUCUGAAGCAUCUACCACCCCUUACUUAUUUUAAGAAGAUUGCUGUAAAAGAAUGAAAUGAGAGAACAUAUGCUGAGGCACUUUUGAAAACCAUAAUUCAUCUUACUUGAUUAAUCUAUUACAUAAAUAAAAUGUACACUAUUUAAAUCUGCUAAUUUAAACUAGCCUGAAUCACUACACUGAAGUGAGGGAUUAGAAAUGAUGGGUCCAGGGGCGCCUGGGUGGCGCAGUCGGUUAGGCGUCCGACUUCAGCCAGGUCACGAUCUCGCAGUCUGAGUUCGAGCCCCGCGUCAGGUUCUGGGCUGAUGACUCAGAGCCUGGAGACUGUUUCCAAUUCUGUGUCUCCCUCUCUCUCUGCCCCUCCCCCGUUCAUGCUCUGUCUCUCUCUGUCCCAAAAAUAAAUAAACGUUGAAAAAAAAAAAAAAAAAAAAAGAAAUGAUGGGUCCAAUUUCCCUGUUUUAGAUUGAAAAAUAAGCCAAGAUCUAAUCAUUCUUCUGGACAUGAAUUUCAACAGCUGCUUGGUAAAAUGAAUAAUAUCCUAGUCUCUAGUGUGCAGGGUGUGGCAGAUAAGUGUUUAAUAUGGAACUCCUGAAGCAAAUAACUAGUGGUCACAACAGCAGUUCUUUAUAAUCACUGAAAAAGGAUACUAUUCCUCUGACAAGGAUGUCAAAAGAUCGGCCCAGCUCAGGGUGCAGUAUGCACUACUAGCUCCUUGGACAGCUGUAAGAAGAGUCUCUGGCUCUUUAGAAUACUGGAUCAAUUCUGAGCUGGUUCUAUACCCCCACUGAAGAGGAAGGAUGGAUCAAUUUUAAGUGGAUUGAAGCCUGCACUAGACAGCAUCCAAAGGAUAUCGGCCCUGGUUGGCAAAUGUACACCUGCAUGGGAGUUUGACUUGAAGUAAAUAAUUUAAAAAGUUAAUCUGUGGUGUAUGCUAAAAUAUUCUUAUUUGUGAAAGUGUUCUGGGAAUUUACCAUAUUAAAGAGAAGAAAAUUGAUAUCUGAACUGAGCUUUGGCCAGUGGGAGUUCUUUCAGUUGGUUCCUUGAAUAUAACCCCAUCCUUUUCCAAAAUGUAAUCACUUUCUCUGGCUUUAGCUUCCCUUUGAUGGAAAGGGAAUGCUUCUUGAACAUGUCAUCAGUGUAAAAACAAAACUAGAAGGCUUUGGUCUAAUGUAGCCAUACUCAGUAAAUAUGGUUCAGAGUGGAUCAGAAGAUCUGGAGAGAUUGGACUAGUCAUUUCCUUUUAGGCAUCUUAACUGGGUUUUGGUGUCUUCCUGAGUCCUGUCUUUCUUCUCAAGGACGUUCUGAGCAUGUGAAACCUGAGGACUGCAAGUAGCUCUAAGCAGCUUCACAUUCAGCAGAUCUUUCCUUUUGAGAAUCUGGAUAAACUCCAAAUAAUCUAAGAUGAUGGCUUGCAGGCCACCUGGAAAAAAAAAAAAAGAUCUUCCUCUGAAGAAUAGGCUUGUUGCUCUACAGUGUUAGUGACCCAUUCCCUUUGACGAUCCCUAGGUGGAGAUGGGGCAUGAGGAUCCUCCAGGGGAAAAGCUCACUAUCACUGGGCAACAACCCUAGGCUAGGAGGCUUUACCAAGAUUCUUUCCUGAGCCCAGGUAGGAAGUCUCACAACAACCGCCACACAUCAGAGGUGGCUCCUGAUUGUUCCCUUCUUAUCUGCCAAAUCAUUGUGUCCCCAAAACAAUGCAGAGAGCAAGAAAUUUGAACACAUCAAAGGAAGAUCAACAUGCCUGGCAUGCUAACAUUUUAGAACAGCAGAAUGAAUGUGUAUUUCUUUGUCUAUUUUUUUUCUUGAAUCUCUUUGGUUUUCCUUCUCUGUCUAAAGUGUGUCUCAGCCAUUCCAUGAUUCUCUUGUUAGUUUCUUCUCUGUGUAUCUUUGUCUCAUUUUCUUGUUCCUAAGAGUUGUCUGUGCCUUGUCUUGAAUGUCUCUCUCCAGUUUUUUCAUUUUGUUAGUGAUUCUCUUUGUUCUCCUAGAUCUGGCUCUUCUUUCACUGUUCUUCCUUUUGUGUCUCUGUGUCACAUGAUGUGUGCUUUUUGUUCAUUUCUUGUUCUGCCUAUACCUCUUUUCUUGUUCUGUUGUGAACUCUGAUUUUUUGUCUUCCCUUACCCUUCUCAUUGGUUUCAUAUUUCACCUUUUUCUCAUUAUGCCUUCCCUUCUGCUUUUUCUACUCAUUAUCUCAAAUUUCUGUGUCUCUUGGGCCAUUUUCUCUCUAUUUUGUCCUGCUUUGUCUCAGUGUCUCUUUUUCUCUCUGUUUUUUUUCCUGCUCUGUCUCAGUGUCUCUUUUUCUCUGUUUUUUUUUUCUGCUCUGUCUCAGUGUCUCCUUGCUCUUUGUGAUUUUUCCAUUUCAGCAUUCAUCUCUGUUCUCUUGUUUCUUCUCUGCUUUUCCCCUUCUACUCACCUUUGAGUAUUUCAGCCUCUUUGUGAGUCUGUGAUUCCCCCUCUUUGACUUUAUGCAGUCCUCUAUCCUUGCAUAUUUUUGUGCAUUUGUAUGAUCAUGUGUGUGUCUUUGUGACAAAGGGGCUUCCUAACCCCUUCCCAAUAGGUACAGUGUGUCAACUAUCAAAAUACACAUUGCAGAGCUGUUCGUUAUGCCAGGACACCCUGUGAGAUGACCCAAGACCUAUGAUGGACAGAAAGUGGAAGGCCCAUAAUGGAGAGAAGGCCCAAGUAAAAGACAGAUGGUUUGAGACUUGAGACCUAAAGACAAAAAUGGAAAACCUGUCUCAAGAUAGAUGGAAACUUCAGGCUUGAGACCAUCCAAAGUCCUGACAACCAUGAUGUAAAAAGGUGGCCCUUGUUGGAUAGAAGACCUUACUGAGUUGGAUGGAAAGUUCAAGACUUGAGUUAGAUAGAAGUCCAAAGACCCAUAGUAGGAGACUGAAGGCCUAAGAAUGGGGACCCAUCGAAAGCCUGAGACAUAAGACACCAUGUCUAAGACCUGAGAUAAAAACUUUAGCUUGAAGAUCUAAGAUCCAAGGAUGGAAGGCCCCAGACACACAUAAAGACCCGGGACUCCAGCCUCUAGAUGGACAGAAGGUCAAAGAGAGAAAUCUAUCUCAAGGCUAAAUUAGGUGGGAAGCUAGAAGCCCAUGACACAGAAUCCAAGAAGGAUAGAAGCCCCAAGACCAAAGGAAAUCCCAAGAUGAGAAUGCUAAACCCCAGCUUUUUUCUAUUGCCAUCCUUCCUACUCUUGGACAUUUUCAGUUCUCCCUUGACAGUUCUUAUGUUUCCAUUUAAGCCCACUUUUUUGAGAUGCCCUUUUAGAUGUUGCCAUUACCUUAAGGAAACAUAUCUUUACAUUGGCAAUAUUAUGCUUGGUCCAGUCUUAAGCCAAUUUUUAUCACAGUUUUGGGCCAUUUAUUGUUUGUUUUUUAAAUUUCCAUUUGUCUUUGCCUCCAAUUCACAUGAGAGAGACAUAUAGGUAACAUUGUAUUUCAGUUGUCCCUUUUCUUUAGGAGCUAUAGGCUGAUGAGCAAAGGCAAGCAUCAGCCUGUUGUGGGAAAAAAGGUGCUAGGCUAUUUAGAGAAAAUGUGAAGAGAUGUUCCAGGCCAGUGAGAAGAAUUAGACAAGAAAUACCCAGAUGUGCCAGACUGUUGAAGCACCAGCCAGAAACACCUUACUUCUUUGAGCUUGGGUGAGCAGGAUUCCUGGGGUUUGGGAUUCCUAGUGAUGGUUAAAAAAACAGAUGAUUGGUCCUGGGACAGAGUGAGGCCCCAAGGAGGCAGUUUGAACUCCCUGCUCAUAGUAGUGGCCUAAUAAUUUGGUAGACUGUGCCAGUACUGCUCCUGGGUUUAAUACCCACCUCAAGGUUUAAAGGUGAGAGAACUUGGGGAUAUUUACUUAGCAGGUUUAAUCCUUUCCUUGAUUCCCCCCCAUGAGAGAAAAAAAUUUAAACAAUUGAGAAUAUAUGUGAAAGCAUUGUAAAGCAGAGAAAAAAGUGCAAGGCAUUCUCAUUAAUAGUAUAUCAGCAGCCAUGCACAGCUGACAUUUAAAGUGUACUGUCAGUUGUGAAGCAUUAUGUAAAUCAGGGGUCAUCACACCCUUUCUGUAAAGGGUCAGAUGGUAAAUAUUUUAGGUUUUGUGAGCCAUAUGGUCUCUGACACAUUUUUUAAAAUUAACCCUUUACAAAGAAAAACUACUGUUAGCAUGUGAACCAAGUAGAUUUGGUCUGUGGGCAAUACUAUCAUCCUUGAUGUACAUACCAGGGACUGUGUGCUGAAUAAUACUUGUGUGUGCCUGUCCCUGAGCUAGACACUUAAGGAUGCAAUAAUUAUUUACUAUUACAUCCAGGUGACCUGAAGAAAAAUAUGUGAAUGUGCUUUGUAAACUGUAAAGCACUUAAAGAUUUAUGAGUUUCAGAGUUGAUGAAUGAAUAUUGACUACACAGUAUGUACAUUCUACUGUACAUUCUACUAGACACUGUGAAUACAAAGAUUAAAAGAAGCCUGAAUAAAGUACUUUGUCAGAAGUAUGUAAUACUAUGAAGAUAUUAGGAAUUGUUUGAUAAAUGAAUAAUUCAUAUAUUUGUGGCCAUCAUGUUUCCACUGCUCUGGUAAUUUUAAGUAAAAGUACAGUAUUCCAGGUAGAAAAGCAAACACAGGGAAGCUGCUUUUAAAGCAUAAAAUAUACUGCAAACACAAGGGAUUAAGCUAUUGUGAAAACUUAUAACAUGUCAUAUACCAUGCUAAGUGCUACAGAUGUCAAAGGGAAAACAGUGUCCUCAGUAGGGAAUUAAAAAUGUCAGAUUAUGAGGUACAUAUUAAAGUACUUUGUAAACUAAAGCACUGUAUAGAUACCAGUGUGUUACAUGUUUAUGAAUAUUAUUUGCUUUUUAUGGGCCAGGUAUAUUUUGGGUACUCUGAAAUCUAAGAUAAUGCUUCCAAGUAAUAAGAGGGGGGCUUAUGUCCUAGACUAUUUAGAUGUAAAGAAUUGGAUAUUGCUUGUUUUAAUCAAUCAAGACUUUAAUGGUGAUGUCAAAUUAAAUUAUCACCAGUAUAUUUUACCAGGUAACAGGUAAAUGUAAUGAUUGAGAUUGCACUUGCAUUUUCUAAAGUGCUAUAUAAAUACAAGACAUUAGCUGUUUUCUGUGUGAAUAAAACUUUCUGUGAGAUAGGCAUUGUCUCCAGAAAAUUCUCAUUGUGUUCCUGACAUCCACUAUGACAAAGGUAAUAUAAAUAGUUAUAGAAACUGAGGGUUUAAAUACUUGUUGAAUGAAUGAAUGAAUAUCAGUUACUUACUAUGUGGACUCACUAUUAUAGGCACUAAAGAGAUACAAAGAUUUAUCAUUUCAUUGUGCUUAUAGCUGAGAAUAAGCCGAUACAUGUGUCAGCAUUUUGGGAACUCUAAAGCAUCAUAUAAGUGUAACUACUGAUUUUCUGAUUUGGUGCUGAGUACUGGGCUUAUAAAAUUAUAUCACACUUAUUAUACUAUUAAAAAAGUUGGAAAAAUCUGAGGAAGAGUUCUUAACUAUUAAACACUCUGAAUAUAAUAUGCAAAGGAUUAAAUAUCUGGUAAAUGCAAAACUGGCUAAUAAUUGUCUAUUACGUGCCAGUCUCCUUGCUAGGCAUUAGGGAUGUGAAGAUAAACCAUCUUUAUUGUGUCCUGGGUAGCAGCAGAUAAUGUAUAAAAUCAAUUUAUAAGUCUUAAACUGCCAUAUAUGUAUAAGCAAUAUCUGCUGAAUUAACAUUGAUUAUUUACUCUGUCUUAUCUGUGGAGACAACAAACGGGGAUGCAGAAAUUAUCAUUAUUAUUGAACUUACGACAGAGAUCUGUGUAAAUUUACAAGCCUGCUCUUCUAUACAGAUAUAAGGAAAUAAUUUGGCUUAAUGAAUGAUUACUUUCUAUGAGGCUUAGAACUAUGCCAUGCCUUAGGAUAUAAAAAUGAUUUUAUUCUUAUGAGGUGUUCAUAGGAAGAAAUAAGGAAAUCCAGUGAGAAAUAAGGAAAUAAGUGAGAUCCAGACUAAAAGUUAAGCACUACUAAGCUUAUUUAAUAAAAACAUGGGAAAAAUGGAAUUGUGCCAGGAAGUAUGCUAAAUGCUGAACGCUGUGGAAAGAUAAUAUCUGAAUCAGAGGGUGUCCUUGCUCUCUAGCUAGACUGAAGAGAUGGGAAAUGUUUUUAAAAAAGAAGAUGUUAUAGUUCUCUAUCAGUCUUUAAAAUGCUGAAUGCUGAAGGUGGAGGUGAAUGAGAUCCACCCUGCCUGGCUUAAAAUUAAAUGGCUCAGGUUUGAUUUUAGAUUUAUAUGAUAAACCUAGAGCAUCUUUUAUGUGGAAUACAUCAUUCUAGGUCCUAAGAGAAGUGAAAUGGCUAAGUCAAAAGGGCAUCAGAAUACAGAUUAUAGAUGAAGAUAAGAAAACAUCAUUGAUUUUUAAGUAGAUAUUUGAGUGCUUGUUUUCUGGACAGUAUUAUGCUAGAUAAAUUAGUUGAGUUGGCCUGGUCCAGAAAACCUAUCGACAUGCCUUAGAGAUUAAAAAAAAAAAUAGAAAAAUAAGGCAUGAUUCUUUUAAUGUUAAAUGAAGACUUUUUUCCUAAUUCUUUCUAAUUUUCACUUGCUCAUUGACCUAGUUUGAAGCCAGAAGACUGAUAAUAAGGGAGCUUAGGGUUUGUCCUUUAAUUCAUUACUUUAACAUUCUGUUUUGAUUAUAGAUGGAUAGUUUAAGAUGAGAAUUAAGAUAAAACAACUGGUUUUAAAAAUAUUUGCUUAUUGGCCUGGCAUAGAGUCAGGAAGCCACUUGAGCAGUAAAGAUUUUUUUCUAGAUUUUCUGUAUUUUGUAAAAAUUUAUUUACCCUGUAUAAUGUUCUCAAAUGCAGAGAAUGAAGAGACUUAAAGGACCUAUACCAAAAUGUACUUUAAUCUCACUAGUUUAUGGUGGAAACAUAGGAACUAAUUUAAUAAGAGACUGCAGUUCUUUCAGUUUAUUGAGCAGCUGUGAUAGUAAGACACUGAGAACAAAUGAUCACCUUCUCUUUGGCAUAUUUUAUAGAGUGGGAAUAAGAGAGAACUUUUCAUUUAUACAAACUUUGAGGAAGGUGAUGUUAAAUUGGAACAGAUCUGGUAAGAAAGGCACUUAUUUUGUCUUGGAGAUGCAAUAGGACAAAACAAAAACAAACAAAACAAAACAAAAAGGAAUGAAAUUCUUCUUUAAAUGGAAGUGUCUAUUUCAAGGCAUUGUGUUAAUUGCUAGACAGAAAACAAAAAAGAUCUUGACUGAAAGAUACUUUUUAGUUAGCUUUGAGACUAGAAUAUAAGCGAUUACUGUUCAUUUCUUCAUUUAUUCAUUCUACAAGUACAUUUGAAUGCCUAUUAUGUAUAAAGCUCUUUGCUAUGUUCCCAGAUAGCCCGAGAGACAUGAAAAAAACAAAAACAAAAACAAAAAAUAAAUGCUUUCCUAGAGAACUUUUAAAGCUUUUCUUUUGGCCUGUUUUCUGGUUAGGGGCAUGGCAUAGUCCGUAAAUAAUGUUGUGGGUUUUAAUUGCUGUUCCAUGUUUCUUCUACCACUCUGGCCACUACAAUAAGCAGGGUUUUCUAUUGAGCUUGCUCUUUAAGUUGCAGGAACUUUCUUUAUAAUAGGCACUUUAUUUUUCCUGGCCCAUCCCUAAUGAAAAAUGACUGUGACCGCUGCUGGACAGAAAGAGGGAUGACAACUAAUUCCCAAAUUCCAGUUUCAUUGGUACCAGCAUUGGGGAAACACUUAUACUCUAGCCACAAUUGGUUUUAAAAUGCAUUUACCAGUUUUGUCUGUUUUUAAUUGUUUACAUUUUUACAUUCUGACAAAUAUGUGCUGCCUAAAUAGAUCUCUUUGAAAUACAUAACAUAAUUGGAGAUGGAGACAUGAUUUCUCUUUUGCAAUAGUAUCUCAACUUAACCUUUAGAAAUCUCACCAUCAAAACAUGUUCAAGAAAGGACUUCUUAAUAGUGGAAUAAUAUCAGUUAAUUAAAAUAGCUUAACAAUUUUACCAUGUUUAAAAUUUCAGAAUAAUAGAAAUUGGAACUAAUUGGCAAAAAUUGGAGGGAAUCAACAACAAUCCUCAAUCUAGGCCCAACUGGGUUUUGACCUUUUCUAUUUUUAAAUCACUCACAGAGGGUGGGAUAGGAGGAAGAGUGAAAGAAAAGGUCAAACCAGUUUCUAAGAGCAGCCUGCCUGUGUUUGGUAUUGGUUUUAAGAACAUUACUACCUCCAAGUCUAACAUUGCUUUUUUUAGUUUAAUGCAAUUCCGAUCAGUAGUCCUUAUUGAGAUGAAGACAUGAUACUUUGUCCCCCACUAAUUUCUGUAAGUCUUUGAGAAACAAUUUUGAGCUAGUUAUCAACUAAACCUUGAGUUAAAUAAUUAUGGGAUUUGUUAAUUAAAUUAAUGUAACCUCCAUCAGAAGGUAGUUUUAAAGUCAACAUUCACUGCAAAAGAGGAGGACUUUAUUGUUCACAGUAAUUUAUAUAACUUUUAGUUUACAUCUGUAAAUGAAGAAGGAAAUAGGUGAAUGGCAAAAGAUAAUUGGUGGAGGGAACAAAGUUGAAGACAAAUUGGGUGUGAUGUUUCUAGUUUUCACUUUGUACAUUUUUAUUUAGGCAUCAGAUAUAUUUGAAAUACUGUUUGGCCUUUAAUACUGUGGUAUCAGAUGGAUUCUGUAACACCCCUAUUUUCAAGUUGGGGUCGGGGAGUACAUUAUUGGAAAUUAGACAGGAGAAAGUAACUAAAAGCCUUCCUUUCACAGUUCCUGACAUCCUAAGACUACUGCUAUUGAUAAGAAUAAGAACAUACUAUCAUCUGAAUUUUUAUGGCAUAAAUGAAAUUAUGAACAAAUACAUUUUUAAAGGAAAUGGCUUCAUCUCUACCCUUCUGCCUAAAAGGGAAUCUAUGCCAAAUGUUCCAAUAAAUGGGAAGAUACACUUUGACUUGUGAACUGAUGUGAAAAUGCAGAAUCUUUGAUUUUUGAGUGUUUUGAAGAUUGAAAAAUCUUGCUCAGCAUGGAUGACCACCAAAAGCAAUCUAAAGCUAUCGACAUGUCACAACUGAGACAAAUUGGGGAAUGUGUUGUCUAAUGUGAAAUAAAAUGUACUGUUUUGAAAA